rnacentral:rRNA from 1 species
UACAGAGGGUGCAAGCGUUGUUCGGAAUUAUUGGGCGUAAAGAGCUCGUAGGUGGUUUGUCGCGUUGUUCGUGAAAACUCACAGCUCAACUGUGGGCGUGCGGGCGAUACGGGCAUCACUGGAGUUCGGCAGGGGAGACUGGAAUUCCUGGUGUAGCGGUGAAAUGCGCAGAUAUCAGGAGGAACACCGAUGGCGAAGGCAGGUCUCUGGGCAUUAACUGACGCUGAGGAGCGAAAGCAUGGGGAGCGAACAGG